rnacentral:rRNA from 1 species
AUUGAACGCUGGCGGCAGGCCUAACACAUGCAAGUCGAACGAGUGGCGGACGGGUGAGUAAUGUCUGGGAAACUGCCCGAUGGAGGGGGAUAACUACUGGAAACGGUAGCUAAUACCGCAUACCAUCGGAUGUGCCCAGAUGGGAUUAGCUAGUAGGUGGGGUAACGGCUCACCUAGGCGACGAUCCCUAGCUGGUCUGAGAGGAUGACCGGCCACAUUGGACUGGAGCAACGGUCCAGACGCCGACGGGAGGCAGCAGGGGGGAAUAUUGCACAAGGGGCGCAAGCCUGAGGCAGCCAUGCCGGGUGUAUGAAGAAUGCCUUCGGGUUGUAAAGUACUUUCAUCGAGGAGGCGGUACUCGCAGAAGAAGCACCGGCUAACUCCGUGCCAGCAGCCGCGGUAAGAC